GCUGAAAGUACCGAAUUAAUUCUGUGGUUCGUUUUGGGAACAUGGGCAGUGGUUUUCCUGGCACUGGAUGGGUCAUCUGCAGUGGUAUUAACUGUAGUUCACCAUUUGUUUUCUAUCUUGUGAGUCCCGUUACACACAGUUGGAGACCAGAAGAGGUGGUGGAUAUGGGUGUGGAUAGAGCCAAACACAACUCUGCAAUUUGAUACCACUCUUGGAGGACUUUGUGGACCCUAAACUUCAGACUCACCUUUAUGCUUUUUAUUUCUGGUUGGGAAAUGAAAAGUUCUUCUCUUCUGCUAAAGGAAUUUCAAGCAUCAUUAAGCAUCAAGGACGUCUUUCUGGAAUGGGACAACUCCUUUUCAGGUACACAGGAUCCUCGUCUUAUAUCUCAUCCCUGUUAUCACUCAACCUUCGCCCUUCAUCAAACCCACUCUCAGGAAAGCAGAUUUAGAAUUUGUGUGAAAUCAAGUUAACAGUAUUACCUUUCCCAGGUAUGUUUGCAAUUUGAGGUUUUUAUUGCAAGUUGUGGACCCCUGCCCCUGUUAAACGCAUUACAGACAAUUCCAGAAUUUUCUGGAAAAGGGCCCAUGGAGCCAGGAUCUUAUAGGCAGAAUCCUGGAAGAGAGCCACAUCCUCAGGCCUUAAGGGCUGACCUUACAGUUCUCAAGGCCAAU
rnacentral:lncRNA from 1 species